rnacentral:rRNA from 1 species
UACCUGGUUGAUCCUGCCAGUAGUCAUAUGCUUGUCUAAAAGAUUAAGCCAUGCAUGUCUCAGUAUAAGCUUUUAUAUUGCAAAACUGCGAAUGGCUCAUUAAAACAGUUAUAGUUCACUUGAUGGCCACUUAUUACUUGGAUACCUAUGGUAAUUCUAGAGCUAAUACAUGCUUUUAGACCCGACUUUUGUGGGAGGGUUGUGCUUAUUAGAUACUGAACCAACCGUUUUCGGACGUUGUUUGUUGAUUCAUAGUAUUCCAGCGAAUCGUUUUAUAACGAUGAAUCAUUCAAGUUUCUGACCUAUCAGCUUUCGACGGUAUGGUAUUGGCUUACCGUGGCAUUGACGGGUAACGGAGAAUUAGGGUUCGAUUCCGGAGAGGGAGCCUGAGAAACGGCUACCACAUCUAAGGAAGGCAGCAGGCGCGUAAAUUACCCAAUCCUGACACAGGGAGGUAGUGACAAGAAAUACCAAUAUAAGACUUCUAUGUUUUGUAAUUGGGAUGAGCGAAAUUUAAAUCUCUUCUCGAGUAUCAAUUGGAGGGCAAGUCUGGUGCCAGCAGCCGCGGUAAUUCCAGCUCCAAUAGCGUAUAUUAAAAUUGUUGCGGUUAAAACGCUCGUAGUUGGAUAUUUGUUGAAGAAUGGCGGUCCAUCCCAGUGGUGAGUACUCGGUAUAUCUUCGACAUCUUACUGGGGACAGUGUUCGCACUUAACUGUGUGGCACAUGAUCCAGAACUUUUACUUUGAGGAAAUGAGAGUGUUUCAAGCAGGCAUGUGCCGUGAAUAUGUUAGCAUGGAAUAAUAGCAUAGGAUCUCGGUUCGAUGCUGUUGGUUGUCGAGCCGAGGUAAUAAAAAUAGGGAUAGUUGGGGGCAUUCGUAUUUAAAUGUCAGAGGUGAAAUUCUUGGAUUAUUUAAAGACGGACUACUGCGAAAGCAUCUGCCCAGGAUGUUUUUAUUAAUCAAGAACGAAAGUUAGGGGAUCGAAGACGAUCAGAUACCGUCCUAGUCUUAACCUUAAACCAUGCCGACUAGAGAUUGGAGGUGCUCAUUUUUGACAUCUUCAGCAACUUGAGAGAAAUCAAAGUCUUUGGGUUCCGGGGGGAGUAUGGUCGCAAGGCUGAAACUUAAAGGAAUUGACGGAAGGGCACCACCAGGAGUGGAGCCGGCUUAAUUUGACUCAACACGGGGAAACUUACCAGGUCCAGACAUAGAGAGGAUUGACAGACUGAUAGCUCUUUCUUGAUUUUAUGGGUGGUGGUGCAUGGCCGUUCUUAGUUGGUGGAGUGAUUUGUCUGGUUAAUUCCGAUAACGAUCGAGACCUUAACCUGCUAAAUAGUUUUAGGAAGACCCCGUCUUUCUAAUAACUUCUUAGAGGGACUUCGUGUGAUUAACAUGAGGAAGUGUGAGGCAAUAACAGGUCUGUGAUGCCCUUAGAUGUUCUGGGCUGCACGCGCGCUACACUGAUGCGUCCAACGAGAACCUUACCUAGUCCGAGAGGAUCGGGGAACCUUUUGAAAGCGCAUCGUGAUGGGGAUAGAUUAUUGCAAUUAUUAAUCUUGAACGAGGAAUUCCUAGUAAGCGCAAGUCAUCAGCUUGUGCUGAUUACGUCCCUGCCCUUUGUACACACCGCCCGUCGCUCCUACCGAUUGAGUGGUCCGGUGAAUACUUCGGACUGCGAGUGUAUCUAGAAAUAGAAGCACUUGCGGGAAGUUGAGUAAACCUUAUCACUUAGAGGAAGGAGAAGUCGUAACAAGGUUUCCGUAGGUGAACCUGCAGAAGGAUC